AUUGAACGCUGGCGGCAGGCCUAACACAUGCAAGUCGAGCGAGCGGCGGACGGGUGCGUACUGUAUGGGGACUGCCCGCUAGAGGGGGAUAACUACUGGAAACCGUAGCUAAUACCGCAUACAAUCGGAUAACCCAUAUUGGAUUAGCUAGUAGGUGGGGUAAUGGCGCACCUAGGCGACGAUCCAUAGCUGGUCUGAGAGGAUGAUCAGCCACACUGGGACUGAGACACGGCCCAGACUCCUACGGAGGCAGCAGUGGGGAAUAUUCGACAAUGGGCGAAAGCCUGAUCCAGCCAUGCCGCGUGUAUGAAGAAGGCCCUAGGGUUGUAAAGUACUUUCAGUCGGGAGGCGUUACCUACAGAAGAAGCCCCGGCUAACUCCGUGCCAGCAGCCGCGGUAAUAC
rnacentral:rRNA from 1 species